rnacentral:rRNA from 1 species
UACAGAGGGUGCAAACGUUGUUCGGAAUUACUGGGCGUAAAGCGCGUGUAGGCGGUUUGGUAAGUCGGAUGUGAAAGCCCCGGGCUCAACCCGGGAAGUGCACUCGAUACUGCCAAGCUAGAGUAUCGGAGAGGUUGGUGGAAUUCUCGGUGUAGAGGUGAAAUUCGUAGAUAUCGAGAGGAACACCGGUGGCGAAGGCGGCCAACUGGACGAAUACUGACGCUGAGACUCGAAAGCGUGGGGAGCGAACAGG